GGGAGAAAUGUGGCGAAACCGGCCUCGCCACGUGUCCUUGGAGGGGGCUGCUUGCCCGCCUCUUGCCUUUGGACUAUGGACCAGACUUUAUGUGAAGUUAUUAACCCAGAUAGCUAUGCCAUGGAGCCCAUUCGUGUAGUUAAAGACUUCGGCUCCAUGGAAAUUGAACUGUGUGAAUAGGAUCUGAGCGCUAUUCGGUAGUUUUGUGCGCUCAGAUCCCAGCUAUCUGGGGAUAUGUGAAAUGUCUGUGUCUUAUGUGUAAAAGGUGACUUUAUGUAUUUUAAAGUGUUUUGUGUGUUUUUGCAACCAUGUGCUUAAUGGAGUCUUGUGUCUGUCCUGGGAGAUAAUUGAAUUACUCUCAAUUAUCUCCAGGAUAGAAGACUCUGAAACUGGUUUGGGCCGGAAAGCCAUGCUUCAUUUAGUCACAAAGGACUUUCCCUUAACUUUUGAACCCCUGGUCUGAUUCGUGCCAUUUUUUAAAUAUGUUGUUCCCCUGAAUGGAUUGAUUAUGAAAAUGUAAGUUUUAUGUAUGUACGAUGUUAACUCACAAAGUUAUAAAAAUGUACAAAAAGUAACUUUUCAGCUUGGAGAUAAUUGAGU